rnacentral:lncRNA from 1 species
CUCCUUUUGGUCCAUUUCCAGUCUAGUCCAUCCAUCCAUCCCUCCCUCUGGCCCGCAGCCCACCCUCCCAGCCUGAUCCUUGCUGCUACAGCCGCGCGCGUGCACACACACACACACACACGCACACGCGCGCACACACACACACACACACACACACACAUACACACACGCACCCCUACCUCUCUGUGAAAUCCACCCACCCUGGGAAGGAUGAGCAAUGCGUUCCGGGCCUGGAGCCUUUGAGGAUGGGCUGUCAGGAAGGGAAGAAAUCUUUGCAGGCAGUGUCACACAGAGAGAAGGCUUGGUGUACAGCAGCUGUGUGGGUGCCCUCGUGUGAACCCCGCCCCAGGGGUUCCUGCUGCCCGCACAGCUGGAGAGCUGCACCACCCUCAGAGGUCCUGGGUCCAAGCCCGCAGGCUGCAGCCGGCUGGAGAAGCAAGGACAGUGCCCUGAAAGCUGCAGUCAGGGGUCUUCUCAGGACACGGCUGGAAGGAAGGCGAGAACCCCUGGAUCUGAAUAGUCCGGAGCAGGCAUCAAGAUCCACUGUCAACAUUGCAAGGCUUGGAGCAGAUGGAGGGUCAUAUAUCACAGGCCAAACUAUUUACAAGAGUUAAACUAAAAACUGGUAAGUAACAGAAGUUCUCUCCUUCUAUUUUUACCAUUAUUUUUUCAAAAUUGCUUGGAGUUAGGUUAUAAGAAAACAUGGAUAUGACCUUAGAUCCAGCAAUGGUUUCUUGAUGGUGACACCAAAGGCAGGAAGAAAGGCACAAAUAGAUACAUUUUACAUCACCAUAAAAAUGAAAUGCAGAGUUCCCUUCAUGGCUCCGUGGUUAACAAACCCGACUAGGAUCCAUGAGGAUGCAGAUUCGACCCCUGGCCUCGCUCAGUGGGUUAAGGAUCCAGCCUUGCCAUGAGCUAUGUUGUAGGUUCCAGCGUUGCUGUGGCUGUGGUGUAGGCUGGAAGCUUUAGCUCUGAUUUGACCCCUAGCCUGGGAACUUCCAUAUGCCACAGGUGCAGCCCUUAAAAAAAAAAAAAAAGAAAAAAAAAUUAAAUGCUUUCCUGCUUUGAAAGACACCAUCAAAAAAGUGAAAAGACAACUCACAGAACAGGAGAAUGUAUUUUCAACUUAUUUUUAAAAAUCUUACAACUCAGCAGUGAACAGACAACCCAUUUUUUAAAUGAAUGAAAAGUUGGAGCUAUUUGUACAAAGAACACAUACAAAUGGUCAAAAAACACAUUAAAGGAGGCCUCAACAUCAUUUGCCGUGAAGGAAAUACAAGCAAAACCAUGAUGAGGUACCAUUUCAUGUCCACUAGCAUGGUUCUAGUCCAAAUAAGAGAUAACAGCAAGUGUUAAUGAAAUGUAGAAAAAUUGGAAUCCUCAUAUAUUACUGAUGGGAAUGGAAAAUGGUUCAGCCACUUUGGAAGAACAGUCCGGAAGUUCUUCAAAAGUAAAGUUUAGACUUAUCAUAUGACUCAGCAAUUCCAUUCCUUAGGUAUAUGCCCAAGAGAAUUGAAAACACAAGUCUACACAAAAACUCAUGUUCCUAGUAGCAUUAUUCAUAUUAACCAAAACCUGGAAAUAACCAAAUGCCCAUCAACUGAUGAAUGGGUGAACAAAAUGUGGUACAGUGGAAUGUUAUUCAGACUUUAUUGAAUUACUGAUGUAUAUUCCAACAUGGAUAAACCUUAAAAAUAUUAUACUAAGCGAAAGAGAAGCCAGUCACCAAACCCCCCUCAUAUUUCAUUUGUAUAUGUCCAAGAACAGGCAAAUCCAUAGAGACAGAAAGAUUGGUGGUUACUGGGAAUGUGAGGAAAUGUCUGGAAUUAGACAAUGAUUAUGGUUGUAAAAGUUCAUGAGUUUAGUGAAACCUAUGGAAUUUUACACUUUGAAAGGGUGAAUUCAUAGCAUUGAGAACUAUGUCUAGAUACUUAUGUUGCAACAGAACAAAGGGUGGGAAAAAAAUGUAUACAUGUAAGGAUAACUUGAUCCCCUUGCUGUACAGUGGGAAAAAUAAAUAAUAAAAAAAGAAAGGGUGAAUUUUAAAG